ensembl:lncRNA
GGGGGGGUGUACUAGUACAGUAAUAUAUACCAGUAUAGUCAGACAGACUAGUGUCCUGUCCAGGGGGUGUACUAGUACAGUAAUAUAUACCAGUAUAGUCAGACAGACUAGUGUCCUGUCCAGGGGGUGUACUAGUACAGUAAUAUAUACCAGUAUAGUCAGACAGACUAGUGUCCUGUCCAGGGGGUGUACUAGUACAGUAAUAUAUACCAGUAUAGUCAGACAGACUAGUGUCCUGUCCAGGGGGUGUACUAGUACAUUAAGUUGCCUCACUCUUCAGAAACAGGACACAGGCUCCUGCCCCUUGGUUCGCUCUGGCUUGGACAAGGCUUCCUUAUUUUGUCAGUAUGCUCACCGAGUAAGAUACUGCUCUAGAGAGAUACUACUCCUAUAAUCACUCUAUGGUGUGUGCUCCAAAUGGCACCCUAUUCUCUACAUAUUACACUACUUUUAACCACAGCCCUAUGGGCUCUGGUCAAUAGUAGUGCACUAUAUAGGGAAUAGGGUGCCUUACCUUUUGGGUCGCCUGCCUACAUCAGUGAUGAAUUAAUACAACCUUAGUUCUCCAGAGGGAUGAACAGUUCAUAGUUAACUAUGUGCUGAACGUAAUGAGUUGGCAGAUUACCUCAUCGUAUUAACAAGAGACCGGAAACAGAGUUGGAAACCAAUCAGGAACAUGCAUCAACACCUUUCUCCUCCAUUGCCAGCAGUAGGAUUAUGAAGAAACAAACAAAUGAAAAGAAAAUAAACAACAUAAUUCUCUACUUUUAAAUGAAAGGGAAUAUUCUAGGCUAGGGAAUAUUCUAGGCUAGGCUAGGGAAUAUUCUAGGCUAGGGAACAUUCUAGGCUAGGGAACAUUCUAGGCUAGGCUAGGGAAUAUUCUAGGCUAGGCUAGGGAACAUUCUAGGCUAGGCUAGGGAAUAUUCUAGGCUAGGCUAGGGAAUAUUCUAGGCUAGGCUAGGGAAUAUUCUAGGCUAGGCUAGGGAAUAUUUUAGGCUAGGCUAGGGAAUAUUCUAGGCUAGGCUAGGGAAUAUUCUAGGCUAGGCUAGGGAAUAUUCUAGGCUAGGGAAUAUUCUAGGCUAGGGAAUAUUCUAGGCUAGGGAAUAUUCUAGGCUAGGGAAUAUUCUAGGCUAGGGAAUAUUCUAGGCUAGGCUAGGGAAUAUUCUAGGCUAGGGAAUAUUCUAGGCUAGGCUAGGGAAUAUUCUAGGCUAGGGAAUAUUCUAGGCUAGGCUAGGGAAUAUUCUAGGCUAGGGAAUAUUCUAGGCUAGGCUAGGGAAUAUUCUAGGCUAGGCUAGGGAAUAUUCUAGGCUAGGCUAGGGAAUAUUCUAGGCUAGGGAAUAUUCUAGGCUAGGCUAGGGAAUAUUCUAGGCUAGGGAAUAUUCUAGGCUAGGGAAUAUUCUAGGCUAGGGAACAUUCUAGGCUAGGCUAGGGAAUAUUCUAGGCUAGGGAAUAUUCUAGGCUAGGGAAUAUUCUAGGCUAGGCUAGGGAAUAUUCUAGGCUAGGGAGCAUACUAGGCUAGGGAACAUUCUAGCAUUCUAGGGAACAUACUAGGCUAGGGAAUAUUCUAGGCUAGGGAACAUUCUAGGCUAGGGAACAUAAUAGGCUAGGGAACAUUCUAGACUAGGGAACAUUCUAGACUAGGGAACAUUCUAGACUAGGGAACAUUCUAGACUAGGGAACCUUCUUUCAGUUAGUUUAAGUUAUGUUCAUAUUCCAGAUGCACAACCAUCCCAUAGGUCAUGUGGAAUUAUACCGAUUGUAAAUGAUACCUACUGUAAAUGGUAAAUUGUACAUACUGUACUUUUUUAAAUUUUACCUUUAUUUUACCUUUAAUUAACUAGGCAAGUCAGUUAAGAACAAAUUCUUAUUUUCAAUGAGGGCCUAGGAACAGUGGGUUAACUGCCUGUUCAGGGGCAGAACGACAGAUUGUACUUUGUCAGCUCGGGGGUUUGAACUUGCAACCUUCCGGUUACUAGUCCAACGCUCUAACCACUAGGCUACCCUGCCGCCCCAUGAAAUGAUACCUACUGUAAAUGAUACAUACUGUAAAUGAUACCUACUGUACAUGAUACAUACUAUAAAUGAUACCUACUGUAAAUGGUACAUACUGUAAAUGGUACAUACUGUAAAUGGUACAUACUGUAAAUGGUACAUACUGUAAAUGAUACAUACGGCAGGCUUACACCAUGACUUCUCUGUUAAAGACAGUUAAUUGCUCUGAUUUGCCUCCAACACCUCUGCCCCUCAUCUCCUUGUCUCUUUCUAAAGGCCUGGGUUAGAAGGUUUCCCCUGCAGGUCAACUGUUGGUUGGUGAGCGAGGUAGUAGAGAUGUUACAGGGAAACAGAAACGUUGGGAGAAUAUUCAUCAGGUAGCUAAGCGCUGUCACAUGAAGUUUUAGCUGCUGUAUGGGCACCAGCCAUACUCUGGUGAAACCCAGAGAGAUGUGUUCCAGAGGGUCAUUGGGGAUCUAACAACAUAUUAGUUUGACAGGAGGGAAGGGGAUUGAUAUAGAUUUCUGUAAUGAAAAACUUUUGAGGAAUCUACAGUGGAGCUCAAUACCACACUAUUAGAUCCACUCAACUCCCAGCAGGGAGGAGAACAGAUGGAGAGAGUUGAUGUUUCUGUACUCUAUUAUCUGGAGACAAUCUCUUUAUGAUAUGACCUUUAGGCUUAUAGGGGAGGACAGGGGUGAGAGGGUCAAGCCUGAGAGACUGGUGCGCUACUCUACAUAAUACUGUAUACAUUGCCUUACUUGCUGUGUGGGGUCAUUUGGUGCAAAAGCAAUGUGAAGAGGGGAAUAGGACUAAACAGGAAAUUCAAUAUCCCUGCUGCUGGGAGGAGUUAGAAUGUGUUCCAUCUGAUACUACUGGGAGGAGUCAGAAUGUGUUCCAUCUGAUACUACUGGGAGGAGUCAGAAUGUGUUCCAUCUGAUACUACUGGG